GUUAUCCUGAUUAGCUCACUUGUGAGUGCUGUUGGGCCUCCAUACCCAGAUCCUCAGGUGCCUAAUUCUGGUAAAGCUGUCCCACCUGGCUUCCCAAGGAAAUUGGUUCUUUCUUACUCAGCUCCUCCCUAAUUGUGGACUGGAGGAACUAAUUACCCUGAGACAAGGAUUUGGAGUGCUGUGGGGGGUUUUCCACUGCUUUGAAUGAGAGCAGGAUUGAACGCUUUGCGACAGUUUAAAAAGGCUAUGUACUCAUUUGAACUAAAAUUACCCAGCUGCCAGCCUGCUUGAUAGCAAUUACAUCUAAAGAGAGAAAACCACUGAACUUCAUGUAUUGGUGUCAGAACAGGCUGAUGGAGGCAACAUGGGGCAUGGCCACAAAUGGGCCGUGGGCUGUGAUGUCCCACUGCGGGGCAGGGAUCCUCCACCAGCAGGGGGCUGCAGAGCCAAAAAGCCUAAAUCCACCUCUCUACCCCUCUGAGCACCCUGCAGUAUGUGCAAUUUCUUGGCUCUUCGUUCUGCAAUUCUGAACUGCCUUAAAAGGAGACACCUUCAAUUUGGUUAAGAUACAUAAUUUGUGCUUUGUUGAUAGAUUUGUUUCUCUUACAGCGUGCCAUCACGUAACUAUCCCCAGAAAUGUUUGAUUCUUUUUUUUUUAAAUGCCAAUAACAGAUCUAGGAUAUGUGUAGCUAUAUACAUACACAGUCAAUAUGAAAGUCAGGUCCAUGAUUGUACUGGCUACACGCACACCUCAUAGUUAACGCUGCUUUAAAAAAGCCAGCAUAAAGCUUUCUGUGACUACAGCUUGCUUUAAACAAUAUAACCCUUUACUGAUAAAAUAAUAAAUAAUGUAUCUAAAUAAAUAAAAAGCGAAAUACUUUUAUUAGGUUGUUGAUAAUGUCAGUCUGAUGAAAGAAUCUGGAGUCAGGUGUCGAUGAAACAGUGUUUUGAAUUCUUCUUUACCAGCGUGGCAUUUCAAAAUGCCCAGUGUCAAGCCUGGAUAUUAUGAUAUAUGUUUCUUAUUUACUAUUACAGUUCUUAGAGCUUCUGUGCUUUGUUAUUUGAUACCUUGGCUGUUUGCUUAAACUCUGUAUGCAAAUGCAGAGCUCAAAUACAAAGCUGGAGUGUUAAGAUUAAAGGAGAACUAGGAUUCCAAGAUUAAAAAGUAAGAUGACUGUUUCCUGUAAAUAUGUAUCAUUAGUCUGAUUCUAAAAGAAUGUUUAGCAAUGAUGCAAAUAAAAAAAAAAAUAAGAAAAAUCAGCGCUGUAAAAGAAAUGGCCCUAAAUGCUUUAGAAUGCAUGGAUAGCAGAAAAGCCUUUUUCCAGCUGUAAAUGAAUGGCACGUUCUGACGCCCACUGCAAAGGUAAUCGUUAGCAGGGCCCCACAUGAUGCUUUUCGGAUGCCUUUCCUUUCUUACACAUCCUUUUCCUAUUUGACUGCAGUCUGAGCAAGCUGUGUAAGGCAGAGCCUCCAUGCCCAGCUCCUUCUCCCAGUCCCUCUAUCCCACAGAGCUGCAGCUCGGGAGCACCUGCACACAGGCACUGUCAUAGCACAGCAUUUGGGUACCAGCUCGGCCUGCAGUGUGCUUCAUCAGGAUGCUGCAGCCCGGUCUGCAGCAUGCUCACCCCUUCUGCAUCCGAGGUGGAACUUGUUGCCAAGAGAGCAGCUGGCGUUGUUAUUCGAGCUGGUAAACUUUCACCUUGGGAAUAGUAUUUCUGU